ACCUAACGUGCACGUGACCUCUGACGUGUCAUCCCGCAGCGCUUGCUCAAGCUCCUGACGUCCUGCUGUCGCGCGCAAGCAACUCGUCUAUUCUUCGCCAUCUUCGAUGUUGAGGGCUUCUUCGCGAAUAUGGAACGCACACUGACGUGAGCGCUUGAACAGCAUCUUGCUGGUGGAGAGUUUCUCGAGAUAUCGAUGCGCUGCGUGCGACACUUCUGUUGACCAUUUUUGUUCGGACAGUCUCGUUUUAUUGUGUGGCGGCUCGGCGUUCCGAAGUGAAGCAAGUAGCCCUCGAAACUGACCGCCAUCUCCUUGUGUGUACCUCAUCUGCCAAUCCCUUUCCGAGAUCAAAACAAGGCGUCUCUCAGGCAUAUCUCCUAGGACCGUUGCUGGUGACACCGUUCACAGGAUUGCCUGGAGACGGGCUGUACUUUUAUGUUUUUUUUAACAUCUGCCGGAAAUAAAUGCUGUUCAUCCGA
rnacentral:lncRNA from 1 species